GGUGGCUUAGCGCAAUGGUAGCGCGUCAGUUUUCGGUACAGCUGUUCACUGAAGGUUGCGGGUUCGAUCCCCGUGGUCAUCU